AGUAUGGGCAAUAAAAAUAAUGUGUUAGUAGGAGGAGAAACCAAAGUUGGUUUAUUCCUCCAUUGCCGUAGCUAGGAAAGGGUGGAGAAGAAAUUUCCUUUUGUUGUUAAAAUUUUCGGCUAAGGAGAUUGCUAGAUUAAGCUCAAGAGCAUAGAGGGACAAAUUCGGAUAAGGGAAAAGAGAAAGUAAUCGAAUAGCCGUUGUAAUUGUUUGGCAACAUUCGAGCUCAAGAGCAAAGAGGAGUUAGAUCCGAUAAGGGAAAGGAGAAAGCAGUCAAAUAGCCUAUUCAUAACUAUUCAAAAAUAUCCGAGAUUGUUGAUUUUGGCCACCGACUUGGGGAUCGUCAGCAGUUCAUUGUACUAUCAAUCUUGUUGGUACAGUUAUAUUUUGGUCUCGAUAUGGCAUGUAUAGUUUGGACUGUUGACAAAAUACGUUUUGUAAUUGUAAAUAUCUUGGCCGUAUGAAAAUGGCAUUCUAUAACUUAUAAAUCUGUAUGCAUUCAGUUUGAUUUCU